rnacentral:rRNA from 1 species
CCUACGGGAGGCAGCAGUGGGGAAUAUUGCACAAUGGGGGAGACCCUGAUGCAGUGACGCCGCGUGAGUGAAGAAGUAAUUCGUUAUGUAAAGCUCUAUCAGCAGGGAAGAAAAUGACGGUACCUGAGGAAGAAUCCCCGGCUAGCUACGUGCCAGCAGCCGCGGUAAUACGGAGGGGGCAAGCGUUAUCCGGAUUUACUGGGUGUAAUGGGAGCGUAGACGGCAGUGCAAGUCUGGAGUGAAAGGCGGGGGCUCAACCCCCGGACUGCUCUGGAAACUGUACGGCUGGAGUGCAGGAGAGGUAAGUGGAAUUCCUAGUGUAGCGGUGAAAUGCGUAGAUAUCAGGAGGAACACCAGUGGCGAAGGCGGCUUACUGGACUGUAACUGACGUUGAGGCUCGAAAGCGUGGGGAGCAAACAGGAUUAGAUACCCGAGUAGUC